rnacentral:rRNA from 1 species
UGAGGAAUAUUGGUCAAUGGGCGCAAGCCUGAACCAGCCAUCCCGCGUGAAGGAAGAAGGCGCUAUGCGUUGUAAACUUCUUUUCCAGGAGAAUAAAAUGGUGCACGUGUGCGCCACUGAAGGUACCCUGGGAAUAAGCAUCGGCUAACUCCGUGCCAGCAGCCGCGGUAAUACGGAGGAUGCAAGCGUUAUCCGGAUUUAUUGGGUUUAAAGGGUGCGCAGGCGGACUAGUAAGUCAGUGGUGAAAUCCUGCAGCUUAACUGUAGAAUUGCCGUUGAUACUGUCAGUCUUGAGUAUGGUCAAGGUAGGCGGAAUGUGUAAUGUAGCGGUGAAAUGCUUAGAUAUUACACAGAACACCGAUUGCGAAGGCAGCUUGCUGGGCCAUUACUGACGCUCAUGCACGAAAGCGUGGGGAUCGAACAGGAUUAGAUACCCUGGUAGUCCACGCCGUAAACGAUGAUCACUCGCUGUUGGCGAUACACUGUCAGCGGCUAAGCAAAAGCAUUAAGUGAUCCACCUGGGGAGUACGACCGCAAGGUUG